CAUUUCUGCCAAAGGAGUAGACCAGCAGCAAGGGAAGACUUAGACUGAGAAGACCAAGUGGUUAAACAAGAUUUGGGUUUCAGCAAGGAGAUUCCGUCCGGUACAGAUGCCUACAAGUAAUUUAUUGAUUACAAUCGUCAUGAUAACAACUACACAAUUUGCAAGCGCUAUUUUCGUGGUUGCUCUUUUGGUAUCAGAAGUCAAUGAGGAGGGGGUAUUCGGUCAGUGGGUCGUGGAAGCCUUAUAACUGCGUGUGCAGUCUAGGAACGUGCCGAAUUUUCAUGAGCGAUAUCCAUGCCUCAAUUAAACUGUUAUUGACGACUGUAAAGUAAAUGCUAGGUGGUUAAACAUUUUAUCGAUCUAUAGGUAAUAGUUGGAAAGGACAUUUUAACAAAUACUUUUGUAAAUAUUUCUUAGCUUUGUUGAAACGUAGAGCUCAACGUAAAAUGAAUUUUUUUGAAAGGAAAUUUUGCUAUACUUGUUGAGUAGCCUAGUUCGGAA